AGGACUUCUUUCCCAUGUUGGGCUUUUAGCAAUUAGAUCUUAGUUAGGAUUUUCAUGCAUAGUUCUUGUUUCACGCCAUGUAUUCUGCCUCACUCUAAUGAAGUUAAUUCUCAGGCGAAAAAAAUAAUGGUUUUCGAGAAAGGGCGAUAAUGAAGUGGUGAGAACAACGGAAGAAUGCAAAUACUCCCAACAGUAAAUGAGGAUGGCCCACUCAAAACCACCCUUUUACACAUUCCAACACUCUAUUGGCUUUUGCAAAUAUCAUUGGCAUUUAUCAAUCUAUUCCACUUUAUCUUAUAUAUAUAAAUGUAUAACUUGAUGUGAACAAGACCCGUGAUGAGAUAACGUACCGCUCUACAGACUUUGGACACUACCACGUGUCAUCCAUCUAGCAUCGAUACACUGUGUGCUGUGUACUUCGGAACUGAAAGCGCACUCGACAAAUUCAUCCAUUGAUGGAUCGGUUCAGCACGGCCUUGUUGCCAAGUUCAGAAAAAUUGAAAUCAAACACUUGUGUGUAUUGUGUCUUUCGAAACUGAAAUCGCACUCAGCAAAAUUCAUUCAUCGAUGGAUUGGUUCAGCACGGCUUUGUUGCGAAUUCAAAAAAUUGAAAUCAAACAUCAUGAAGCUAAUUGAAAUGUAAAAUUGAGAUCAAUUCAACCACAAGAAUUUACAUAAACAGCCAAAAACAUUAAGAACAAAAGCCCCCAAAGAGAGAAUCGAGAGAGAGAGAGAGGAAAGUAAAGGAAGAAAUUCAGACUCAAAAUUUAACAUUAUUAAGCGGGAGCUCGAAUUAAAGGAGGAUGUAAAGAGGAAGCAAAGGGAAGGCUGCGUAGAAUGAGAAAACGAACUCGCCUUGGGAAAGGGGCUUCAUUAAACAUGUGCUCGAGUACCCUCGCCAGCAGCGCCGUGUACUCCUCCAUAAGCUCCGCUACAAUAGCCACCAGUAUCAUCUUCUUCUUAAUUUCUUCUCUGAGAGAUAGAUAUGUAUUGUGAGAUUUGGUAUUUUAGGUUUUCUUCGUCUCUUUUUAUUGGGGUUUUGGUUUUGCUAGUUUUUAUUGAUGUGGUGGCGAUUACCACGGCGCCUUCGAUAACUUUUCCAGUGUGCUGCUACUUGCCAACCUCGUUUCCCUUCAGCUUCCACGUGGACACCUUUAUCAUAGGACCACUGUUUUAGUUUUUUCUAGACCAUCGUCCUUAUCCUCUCCUCCAUAACUUUUUAUAAUUGCUACGGCUAAUAUUCAAACUCAAGGAACUUUAAUAUUAAUUAGCAAAAGCUUACUGGUCUCUCCUCUCAUU
rnacentral:lncRNA from 1 species